UAUUGAAAAGAUGGUCAGCGAGAAUGGGCUAUCUAAUUAAGGAAUUAGACACCAGGGCAUAAUCCAACACACACAAUCAACCAGAACCCAAUACAAACCCGAUACACACACCCACAUUAUCAACCAGCAUUUGAGCUGUCCUCAAAGGUAGGCUGCUUAACGCAUUAGUGGAUGAACUGCAUUCCAAUGUCCACACAAAGACAAUGCAAUAUAAAACUACAAGGAAGAACACAACCAUCUGAAUCACUUCCACGUAGCUGGGCACAUUUGGUUGGUUUUAUUGGAAGUUCAUUUUUUUCCGUCCAGGUGUCACUUCAACAAACACACAAUCAACCAGCUCAGCUGUCAUCAAUCACAUGAUGGCUGUGUGCAGACUUUUUUUUGGUUUAAAGAAAUAUCGAUUGUGAGGGACGUUACCUAAUACUUUUGUGAAGAACACAACAUAUAACACGUUGAGGAGAAGAUAAAGAAAUUAACUAGAGAGAGGGUGAAACGCAGGGCUUGUUGAAGGUGACCCACAUACAUACAUAUACGAAGCGGCUGCUGCUGUGAGCGAAAGAUAUCGAACAGCUAAUUGCUAAAAUAAGCGUAUGACCUAGAAAAUUGGCCUUAGUCGGACAUAAGGAAGAGAGUGUAGUAGCCGUAGAAGAGGAUGACGAUGCUUGAGAAGAGGCCAGCCGCACUUGGGACCACGGAGCACAUCGAGAUGGAGAUCUUCGCCUCGGAAGAGUCUCGCGCCGUGGUCUCCGUACAUGAUACCGAGGAGGGCUACUUCGGCUACUAUAGGCACCUAGAGCAUCCUCUGGUGUCCGUUUCUGAAGAGGAGUACCUAGAGGCCCAGGUCCAGAGCCCAGCUGAACAGCAAUUCAAGCUGAAGAGAGUGCUUUCUGUCGGGACAGAGGACUUGGAUGACUGCCCCCUGAUUCCAGACUUAAAGGAGGACAUGGAGAUCGAAAUGGAGGAAUUCCCUCCCUUCAACACGCCCGAGAGUGAGCAAGUUUUAAAAACAUCAGCCCUCCCUUCCUUCAAAACACUACGGUUUCCCGCCGUGGCUUCUCUCAACCAAGUCACCAAAGUCAAAUGGAGCCAAGUAGACCAUCAGAGGACUGGACUGGUAGUUAAAGACGUCAUCUGUCUACCCAGAGGACACCUCCUGGCCCAUCCCGACCGCGGUUUCCCGCCGUGGCUUCUCUCAACCAAGUCACCAAAGUCAAAUGGAGCCAAGUAGACCAUCAGAGGACUGGACUGGUAGUUAAAGACGUCAUCUGUCUACCCAGAGGACACCUCCUGGCCCAUCCCGACCGAAAGAACUUUCCUCUGGGGGUUGCCAUGGAAAGAUGUGGUGAGACCCAGCCGGUGGAAGGGAACCUGCCUCCGGAACACAGCCACAAGAUAGAUCUGGACUUCGCCCUGAAGAAGUUCAGACGACACGCCGUGGAUCCGAGCCUCCAUCUCCUGGUCACCCCGAGUUGGAAGGAGCCGCUCCUCAGUGCGUUGAGGAUGUUGGGCAGUCCAGGCUUCUGCUUCAGAGCCUCCCCAGUCAUUUCUUUGUGUGACACAGAGCGAGAAGCUGGCGGACACCAUCUCGACCUCAGAGAGUUCUUCAGCUAAUGUGUGGCCAGAAUGACUUUCUGGACGACUUUGACUGGAGAGACGUUACCGAUCCUGAGGCACAAGUCUGAAUGAAACAGCUUCAGAGUCCUACCAGUUUAGGGCUGUUAUCUGACAGCUCUUGUGACCGGUACAGAAGCUCUGAACUACCAGAGAACGACUCUACUGACCAUUCCUCCAUUUACGCCAGCCUGGUCAAACACUACAUCUACCACAGGGUAGCAAGUACGGCCGCUCAGUUCACAGACGGUUUGGACAGCUGCAGUGGUUUAUGGGAAACGGUGUGUACCAACUGGGAGGCAUUUGCUCCAGUUAUGACCGGCAUGGGACAUAAAACAAGGAGGACUAGUGCAGAUUGCAGCUUAAGAGGUGGAGAAGGAAUCCAAACAUCACCUAACAUCACAUCAAACAAUGGAGUGAUGCUUCACAAGUAUGGAAUAGUAAAAGGUAUAACCAGUUUUGUUUAUGCGUCACUGAAGUGGUAGCAUUUUAAGUACGUAGUAUAUCCAUGAGAAGUAGUGUGAUAAAAGCAUGGUCUACAGACUUAUAAGAAUGCUGUUCCUGAUGUUUAGGGGGUUGACAAUAUUUGUUUUAUAUAAAUGGUCAGACAAAAGUAGAUAACUCUGAAACAAUGAUAAUCCAAUGUCUACAUCUAAAUGCACCAGUUGCAGAUGUCUUCAGAAAAAUUGCAGUGUUCUAAAUCCUAGGGCACAUGGAAAUGUUGUGAUAAAUUUGAUGUUUUAUUUAACAUUUGAAUACACAUUUCAUAUAAUUACAAUUUCAAAUGUACGUAUUUACUAAUGAAAUGCAACCAGGACGGUGUGUCUUCAGUAGUAAU
ensembl:lncRNA